ACAUAUGAGCCGCGUCGGAUAGAAAUCGACCUUAUGCAAUUCGACGUCAAACCGAGUAACGUUACGAUAAAGUUUCACAAGUUUUCAUACAGGUAGUUUCUGACGUUAUAAAAAAAAAAAAAACAUGUCGCUUUCUGACAAAACUACGUUUUUUCAAAAAAAUAUUGUGGGGACAUUUCUGGUCGGAUUUUAAUGUACUAGGUACCAAUAGAAGCAGAAUUGUCACAGUUAUAUUUGUUUAUUUGGAUAGAUUUUUGUUGUAUAACGUUUUCAAUUUUUGGUAAUAUAACCAGUAUUGUUUUU
rnacentral:lncRNA from 1 species